rnacentral:rRNA from 1 species
AUGGCUGGCGUGACGUGUUUGAUUUUACUUUUUAGUGAAAUACACUUUAUAUACACUGGUUUUUGUCCUAGUCUAAUACGUAGGUACUACGCCUUCAACUAUAAGCCGUUCAUUACAAAGUCAGGGUUUCGAGAACCUGAUGUGCUUGUUGGCAUUUUAAGGUUGAUGGCUGGCGUGACGUGUUUGAUUUUACUUUUUAGUGAAAUACACUUUAUAUGCACUGGCUUUUGUCCUAGUCUAAUACGUAUGUACUACGCCUUUAACUAUAAGCCGUCCAUUACAAAAUCAAGGUUUCGAGAACAUGAUGUGUUUGUUGGCAUCUUAAAGUUGAUGGAUGACGUGACGUGUUUGGUUUUAGGCAUAUGA